rnacentral:rRNA from 1 species
AUACGGAGGGUGCAAGCGUUGUUCGGAAUCACUGGGCGUAAAGCGCGCGCAGGCGGUCUUUUAAGUUGGAUGUGAAAGCCUACAGCUCAACUGUAGAACUGCAUCCAAAACUAUUAGACUAGAGUCUGGGAGGGGAAGAUGGAAUUAGUUGUGUAGGGGUAAAGUCCGUAGAGAUAACUAGGAAUACCAAAAGCGAAGGCGAUCUUCUGGAACAGUACUGACGCUGAGGCGCGAAAGCGUGGGGAGCAAACAGGAUUAGAUACCCCGGUAGUCC